rnacentral:rRNA from 1 species
ACAUAGCCUACUAUUUAACUUAGGUACAACCCUGCCCUCUGACUUUUAACAGCCGCGGUAUCCUAACCGUGCUAAGGUAGCAUAAUCACUUGCCUAUUAAUUAUAGGCUAGAAUGAACGGGAUCACUCACUUAAACUUAUUUUUAUUUAAAUUUAAAUUAAACUUUAAGUCAAAAUACUAAAUUAAAAAGAAAGACAAAAAGACCCUGAAAACUAUUAGAAAUAAUUAGUUGGGGCAACUAUAGACCACUCUAGCGUCUAUUUUUUUUUAAACUCUUAAAAUCUAAAGUAUCCAGUUACUUCAGGGAUAACAGACUAAUUUUAUUAUUUAGACCCAAUAAAUAAUAAAGAUUGGCACCUCGAUGUUGGCUUAUAUUUCCUUCAUAUAGCAACAUAUAUAGAAGGCAGCUUGUUCAUCUGUUAAAUAUUUACAUGAGCUGAG